rnacentral:rRNA from 1 species
GACGAACGCUGGCGGCGUGCUUAACACAUGCAAGUCGAACGGAAAGGCCCUGCUUUUGUGGGGUGCUCGAGUGGCGAACGGGUGAGUAACACGUGAGUAACCUGCCCUUGACUUUGGGAUAACUUCAGGAAACUGGGGCUACUACCGGAUAGGAGAUCCUGCUGCAUGGUGGGGGUUGGAAAGUUUCGGCGGGUGGGGAUGGACUCGCGGCUUAUCAGCUUGUUGGUGGGGGAGUGGCUUACCAAGGCUUUGACGGGUAGCCGGCCUGAGAGGGUGACCGGCCACAUUGGGACUGCGAUACGGCCCAGACUCCUACGUGAGGCAGCAGUGGGGAAUAUUGCACAAUGGGCGGAAGCCUGAUGCAGCAACGCCGCGUGCGGGAUGACGUCCUUUGGGUUGUAAACCGCUUUCGCCUGUGACGAAGCGUGAGUGACGGUAAUGGGUAAAGAAGCACCGGCUAACUACGUG